rnacentral:rRNA from 1 species
CUCGGCAAAAUGACCCGUAACUUCGGAGAAGGGGUGCCAACGAGAGUUGGCCGCAGAGAAUAGGCUCAAGCAACUGUUUAGACAAAACACAGGUCUAUGCAAAACCGUAAGGUGAGGUAUAUGGGCUGACGCCUGCCGGUGCUGGAAGGUUAAGAGGAGAGGUUAGCGCAAGCGAAGCUUUGAAUUUAAGCCCCAGUAAACGGCGGCCGUAACAAUAACGGUCCUAAGGUAGCGAAAUUCCUUGUCGGGUAAGUUCCGACCCGCACGAAAGGCGUAAUGAUUUGAGCGCUGUCUCGACAAUGCAUCCGGUGAAAUUGAAGUACCAGUGAAGAUGCUGGUUACCCGCGCCAGGACGGAAAGACCCCAUGGAGCUUUACUCCAGUUUGGUACUGGGGUCCGGCAGUGCAUGUACAGGAUAGGUGGGAGGCUUUGAACCUGGAACGCCAGUUUCAGGGGAGCCAUUGUUGGGAUACCACCCUUGUGCUGCUGGGCUUCUAACCAGCGGCCUUUAUCAGGCCGGGGGACAAUGCCAGACGGGGAGUUUGACUGGGGC